rnacentral:rRNA from 1 species
GAGUUUGAUCGUGGCUCAGAUUGAACGCUGGCGGCAGGCCUAACACAUGCAAGUCGAGCGGUAGAGAGAGGCUUGCUUCUCUUGAGAGCGGCGGACGGGUGAGUAAUGCCUAGGAAUCUGCCUGGUAGUGGGGGAUAACGCUCGGAAACGGACGCUAAUACCGCAUACGUCCUACGGGAGAAAGCAGGGGACCUUCGGGCCUUGCGCUAUCAGAUGAGCCUAGGUCGGAUUAGCUAGUUGGUGAGGUAAUGGCUCACCAAGGCGACGAUCCGUAACUGGUCUGAGAGGAUGAUCAGUCACACUGGAACUGAGACACGGUCCAGACUCCUACGGAGGCAGCAGUGGGGAAUAUUGGACAAUGGGCGAAAGCCUGAUCCAGCCAUGCCGCGUGUGUGAAGAAGGUCUUCGGAUUGUAAAGCACUUUAAGUUGGGAGGAAGGGCAGUAAAUUAAUACUUUGCUGUUUUGACGUUACCGACAGAAUAAGCACCGGCUAACUCUGUGCCAGCAG